rnacentral:misc_RNA from 1 species
UCCGGUUUGUCACCGACAGUCUCCUUAGAGUUCCCGCCAUUACGCGCUGGCAACUAAGGACAAGGGUUGCGCUCGUUGCGGGACUUAACCCAACAUCUCACGACACGAGCUGACGACAGCCAUGCAGCACCUGUGUUCCCGCCAGCCGAACUGAAGAAUGAGGUCUCCCCCACCCACACGGGACAUGUCAAGGGCUGGUAAGGUUCUUCGCGUUGCGUCGAAUUAAACCACAUGCUCCACCGCUUGUACGGGCCCCCGUCAAUUCCUUUGAGUUUUAGCCUUGCGGCCGUACUCCCCAGGCGGGGCACUUAAUGCGUUAGCUACGGCACAGAUCCCGUUGGUUGAGACCCACACCUAGUGCCCAACGUUUACGGCGUGGACUAC